UCUGGGAGAAAUCUCAUUUGGAUUAUCUUACAGUCUUGAUCCAGAAGCAUGCAGGAAGAGGGAUAUGCAGAGACAUCAAAGCGAUGCAUCUUUUAGGUGCCUGAAAAAGAUGACACACUGAAGAUCAGAGGUGAAGAAAAGUAUGGGAUUUGAAAAUGAGAUGAAGAAAAUGAUAAGUAAGGAGAAGAUCACUGAAAUAAUAUGAUUGGAGCCUAACAGUCAUUCCUUCACCUACUAAAAAAGCUGAUUUAUGUGAAAGGAAAUGACUCAGGCUUUGCGUAGAAGAGUGCUGGUAGACAAAAGGAAAAACUGGAUCAUAGAGAAGAUGAGCAAAAAGCUAAGGAAAAGACACAGAAGACUAAAUAGCUGUCAGAAAGCUGAUUUAUCUAAACUAAAUGGAUUAAUGAAAAAAUAGUUUACUCUCAUUAGAGAAUGUAAUUAUACAUUUAUAUUUACAGAGACAAGUGGUGGAUAAAGAUCUAUUAAUAUGAUUUAGAAAUAAUUAUUUCUCUUUCUUGUAAACAACCUAAAAUGUUCUGAAUAAAUAUUUUUCAUCCUUAUGAUA